rnacentral:rRNA from 1 species
UACGUAGGGUGCGAGCGUUGUCCGGAAUUAUUGGGCGUAAAGAGCUCGUAGGCGGUCUGUCGCGUCGGUCGUGAAAACUUGGGGCUUAACCCUGAGCUUGCGGUCGAUACGGGCAUGACUGGAGUUCGGUAGGGGAGACUGGAAUUCCUGGUGUAGCGGUGAAAUGCGCAGAUAUCAGUAGGAACACCGGUGGCGAAGGCGGGUCUCUGGGCCGAUACUGACGCUGAGGAGCGAAAGCGUGGGGAGCGAACAGG